rnacentral:misc_RNA from 1 species
AAUUAUCAACUCCUAUUCUUUAUUGAAUGGUGAGCUUGGAUUUGGAGAUUGCUGGUGAAAAUCGGCUUCUCUUGAAUGAAUUAGCUGGAAUUUGAUUCGCAGCAUAUAUGCGGUGUGAUAAUGUCGUCACUGUGUAGCUCGGAUUGUCUGGCUUCUAAUCGUCUUUCAUGGACAAUUUGAUCA